UUGGUAGAUCCAACUAGAAGAGA
rnacentral:miRNA from 1 species